rnacentral:rRNA from 1 species
UACGAAGGGGCUAGCGUUGCUCGGAAUUACUGGGCGUAAAGCGCACGUAGGCGGCUUCUAAGUCGGGGGUGAAAUCCUGGAGCUCAACUCCAGAACUGCCUUCGAUACUGGAAAGCUCGAGUCCGGGAGAGGUGAGUGGAACUGCGAGUGUAGAGGUGAAAUUCGUAGAUAUUCGCAAGAACACCAGUGGCGAAGGCGGCUCACUGGCCCGGUACUGACGCUGAGGUGACGAAAGCGUGGGGAGCAAACAGG